UUCGCCUGCACAUACGUAAGUCAAUGUUUUCAUUUACACAUGCUUACGAUUUGGUAUUACCAUAGGGCAGGAUAUAUUCAUUUACAGGUAGCGGCAGUUGCCCAAGAACAAAAUAAUGAGUGCACUAUCUGUCAAAGUCAUCGAUUACCGCAACUCUGAGUUUGAGUAUGUUACUAGUUUGCGUCAUUUUUCAUUGUUUGUGUGUUAUGUGUUAUAAUACAUACACACAACCAAAAUUCGUUGACAUAAAUGAAAUUGUACUCAGCUGUUUACGGUAUACUACCUGGUGCCGGUAUCUGUUAGACGCGAAAGCCGGGCAAUGACAAAGGAAAUGCUCCAACGUCUCAUCAUCUUCCCCGCUUGCCCUACACAUGCAAUCACUUGCCGCACCGAUUUUACAUAAUAAUUGCCUCGUCUUCUCACGAUCUGGAUCCCCCUAUAGAAUUUUCCCCGUCCUACCGACCGACGGAGGGAGUGGGCGACGAAUGCGCAUGCAACAUUGUGGAACAGAGAAACGGUUACCAGACGGGUUCAAAUCCCUCCUCAGUCAUCAUCCUUAAUAGGCGGAAUGCUGUCACACUCCAUAAAAAAAACGUCGACGAAACGCUGGAGGAAAAUAGGUGUUUAUAGUGUGGAAAAUGGC